rnacentral:rRNA from 1 species
GGUUGAUCCUGCCAGUAGCAUAUGCUUGUCUCAAAGACUAAGCCAUGCAUGUCCAAGUAUAAACACCUUUAUACAGCGAAACUGCGUACAGCUCAUUACAUCAGUUAUUAUUCCUUUGAUGGUACAUCUCUACAUGGAUACCCGUAGUAAUUCUAGAGCUAAUACAUGCGCAAAGCCCCGACUUUUUGGAAGGGGUGUGUUUAUUAGAUUCAGACCCGCACCCGCAAGGGUUCGUUGGUGAUUCAUAGUAACCUAUUCGAAUCGCUUGUUCGCAAGCGAUGGUUCAUUCAAAU